AAUCCAUAGGUUAAUGAGGCGAACCGGGGGAACUGAAACAUCUAAGUACCCCGAGGAAAAGAAAUCAACCGAGAUUCCCCCAGUAGCGGCGAGCGAACGGGGAGGAGCCCAGAGCCUGAAUCAGCAUGUGUGUUAGUGGAAGCGUCUGGAAAGGCGCGCGAUACAGGGUGACAGCCCCGUACACAAAAGCGCAUGUGCUGUGAGCUCGAUGAGUAGGGCGGGACACGUGGUAUCCUGUCUGAAUAUGGGGGGACCAUCCUCCAAGGCUAAAUACUCCUGACUGACCGAUAGUGAACCAGUACCGUGAGGGAAAGGCGAAAAGAACCCCGGCGAGGGGAGUGAAAAAGAACCUGAAACCGUGUACGUACAAGCAGUGGGAGCACAGGUUUACCUGUGUGACUGCGUACCUUUUGUAUAAUGGGUCAGCGACUUAUAUUCUGUAGCAAGGUUAACCGUAUAGGGGAGCCGGAGGGAAACCGAGUCUUAAUUGGGCGUUAAGUUGCAGGGUAUAGACCCGAAACCCGGUGAUCUAGCCAUGGGCAGGUUGAAGGUUGGGUAACACUAACUGGAGGACCGAACCGACUAAUGUUGAAAAAUUAGCGGAUGACCUGUGGCUGGGGGUGAAAGGCCAAUCAAACCGGGAGAUAGCUGGUUCUCCCCGAAAGCUAUUUAGGUAGCGCCUCGUGAAUUCAUCUCCGGGGGUAGAGCACUGUUUCGGCUAGGGGGCCAUCCCGGCUUACCAACCCGAUGCAAACUGCGAAUACCGGAGAAUGUUAUCACGGGAGACACACGGCGGGUGCUAACGUCCGUCGUGAAGAGGGAAACAACCCAGACCGCCAGCUAAGGUCCCAAAGUCAUGGUUAAGUGGGAAACGAUGUGGGAAGGCCCAGACAGCCAGGAUGUUGGCUUAGAAGCAGCCAUCAUUUAAAGAAAGCGUAAUAGCUCACUGGUCGAGUCGGCCUGCGCGGAAGAUGUAACGGGGCUAAACCAUGCACCGAAGCUGCGGCAGCGAACGUAUCACCCAAGACAACUUUACGGAGUUGACGAUUGACGGAGCGAAGCGACGUCAAAGCGUUCAUUAAAGUCGAGUUGGCUUAGGGAUACGUUCGUUGGGUAGGGGAGCGUUCUGUAAGCCUGUGAAGGUGUGUCGUGAGGCAUGCUGGAGGUAUCAGAAGUGCGAAUGCUGACAUAAGUAACGAUAAAGCGGGUGAAAAGCCCGCUCGCCGGAAGACCAAGGGUUCCUGUCCAACGUUAAUCGGGGCAGGGUGAGUCGACCCCUAAGGCGAGGCCGAAAGGCGUAGUCGAUGGGAAACGGGUUAAUAUUCCCGUACUUGGUGUUACUGCGAAGGGGGGACGGAGAAGGCUAUGUUGGCCGGGCGACGGUUGUCCCGGUUUAAGCGUGUAGGCUGGUUUUCCAGGCAAAUCCGGAAAAUCAAGGCUGAGGCGUGACGACGAGGCACUACGGUGCUGAAGCAACAAAUGCCCUGCUUCCAGGAAAAGCCUCUAAGCAUCAGGUAACAUCAAAUCGUACCCCAAACCGACACAGGUGGUCAGGUAGAGAAUACCAAGGCGCUUGAGAGAACUCGGGUGAAGGAACUAGGCAAAAUGGUGCCGUAACUUCGGGAGAAGGCACGCUGACAUGUAGGUGAAGUGAUUUACUCAUGGAGCUGAAGUCAGUCGAAGAUACCAGCUGGCUGCAACUGUUUAUUAAAAACACAGCACUGUGCAAACACGAAAGUGGACGUAUACGGUGUGACGCCUGCCCGGUGCCGGAAGGUUAAUUGAUGGGGUCAGCGCAAGCGAAGCUCCUGAUCGAAGCCCCGGUAAACGGCGGCCGUAACUAUAACGGUCCUAAGGUAGCGAAAUUCCUUGUCGGGUAAGUUCCGACCUGCACGAAUGGCGUAAUGAUGGCCAGGCUGUCUCCACCCGAGACUCAGUGAAAUUGAACUCGCUGUGAAGAUGCAGUGUACCCGCGGCAAGACGGAAAGACCCCGUGAACCUUUACUAUAGCUUGACACUGAACAUUGAGCCUUGAUGUGUAGGAUAGGUGGGAGGCUUUGAAGUGUGGACGCCAGUCUGCAUGGAGCCGACCUUGAAAUACCACCCUUUAAUGUUUGAUGUUCUAACGUGGACCCGUAAUCCGGGUUGCGGACAGUGUCUGGUGGGUAGUUUGACUGGGGCGGUCUCCUCCUAAAGAGUAACGGAGGAGCACGAAGGUUGGCUAAUCCUGGUCGGACAUCAGGAGGUUAGUGCAAUGGCAUAAGCCAGCUUGACUGCGAGCGUGACGGCGCGAGCAGGUGCGAAAGCAGGUCAUAGUGAUCCGGUGGUUCUGAAUGGAAGGGCCAUCGCUCAACGGAUAAAAGGUACUCCGGGGAUAACAGGCUGAUACCGCCCAAGAGUUCAUAUCGACGGCGGUGUUUGGCACCUCGAUGUCGGCUCAUCACAUCCUGGGGCUGAAGUAGGUCCCAAGGGUAUGGCUGUUCGCCAUUUAAAGUGGUACGCGAGCUGGGUUUAGAACGUCGUGAGACAGUUCGGUCCCUAUCUGCCGUGGGCGCUGGAGAACUGAGGGGGGCUGCUCCUAGUACGAGAGGACCGGAGUGGACGCAUCACUGGUGUUCGGGUUGUCAUGCCAAUGGCACUGCCCGGUAGCUAAAUGCGGAAGAGAUAAGUGCUGAAAGCAUCUAAGCACGAAACUUGCCCCGA
rnacentral:rRNA from 1 species